CAUCUGUUAGAUCAUUUGAUACUUCCUCUACGAUACUUCUGUCAAAUCUUUCAGGAGAGGGAACUGGAUAAUCUUCUUGUUCGUCUGCUUCUUGAGGUGCAGAACCAGAAUCUCCUUUAAUCUCUUCUCUCUCGGAGCCUGAACUUUCUUGAUUAUUUUCAGCAGGGAAUUCCUCUAGCUGCAUUUCAUUAUCAGAACCUUCUUCAGCAUCUUCAACAGAAAAUCCUUCUAGCUGAGUUUCAUUAUCAGAACCUUCUUCAGCAAGUAUUUCCUCAGACUUUUCUUCUUCACUGCUGGCUCCAUCUUCAGCACUUUCUCCUGGGGAUACAGACUCAUCAUCACUUAAUUUGAUGAUGG
rnacentral:lncRNA from 1 species